rnacentral:lncRNA from 1 species
UGGUGGUCCAUGCCUUUAGUCCCAAUACUUUUAAGGCAGAUGCAGACACAUAUUUAAGUUUGAGGCUAUCCUGGUCUACAGAGUGACCCCAGGACAGCUCGGACUACACAGACAGCAGUAAAAAACUAAAAUAAAGAAACCUUAAAAAUGCAUGCAGGUCUGAUUCCAGUUGCAGGUUGACAAUAUCGGGAGAGUGAGGUGGUUGGCGAGCGUCAUGUCGUAGACCUGGGCAGCUCCAAGAUCGUCUUAGCUUCAUUGGUCUCUAGGCAGGGCUGACAUUGGGCAGACGUUUCCAGGAAUCAGGACCUUGGUUUUCAUCUAAAAAACAGCCGGUCGCGGGGGUACAGAGACAUAAAAUACAGUGGUGAGUUAGUCGUGAUUCCUACGAGAGGCGCGAAGUAUAGCAAAGACUAAAAGUAAACGCUAGCAACGAUUAAGACGGAAGGAGUGCCUAGGACCCUGACGCUGGGGAUUUUGAUGGUGGCUCCUAGGGCUGGAAGCUCACAGUUCCUCAUUUAGAUCUGGACAGCUCCCACUCUACCUCUGGUGACGAUCACCGCCCACCCAGGCGCGCUGUCAGUCAUAGCUAGAGACCUCCCCUAAAGUGCCUCCAUUCUUCCAAUAGGCAAGCCCUCCUCACGCCUUUUCCAGAACAUUCUGCAAUCCUCGGUUCACUUCCGCCCCCCUGGCAACACUUCAAAUUUGUCCUUCAACCAAGGGAUUGCCUAGCACUAUCAUCAGUAUCUGCCUGCCCUCGUUCUUUCCUGGCUUAAAAGCCGCGGGAUUUUCCUUUUGGACGUCUAGCUCGCCGUUCUGAUUCUCGCGACAGUCCCGAAACCUCGCGUGAAAUUCGCUUCCUGUCUCCUCGGAGUUUGGGAUUGUCUGUGUACAGCUCUCGUCCAAGUCGUCAGAACCCCUCUAGCAGGAGCAGCGUCUCUGCUGACUGAAUGCUCCUUUGAGGAUGGCUCGGUCAAAGUCAGAACUGCAUGACGACCGUAGUAUAGCCCGUCGCAGUGGA